GUCAGGAUGCGCGAGCUGUCUAAAGCUCUGUGUUCAGAUCGCAGGCCACUUCUGUGGGCGUGGGUUCGAAUCCCACUUCUGACA